rnacentral:rRNA from 1 species
AACGAACGCUGGCGGCAUGCCUAACACAUGCAAGUCGAACGCCCCGCAAGGGGAGUGGCGAACGGGUGAGUAACGCGUGGGAACCUACCCAGCAGUUGGGGAUAACCGCGGGAAACUGCGGCUAAUACCGAAUACGUCCUAAGGGAGAAAGAUUUAUCGCUGUUGGAGGGGCCCGCGUCGGAUUAGCUAGUUGGUGAGGUAACGGCUCACCAAGGCGACGAUCCGUAGCUGGUCUGAGAGGAUGAUCAGCCACACUGGGACUUAGACACGGCCCAGACUCCUACGGGAGGCAGCAGUGGGGAAUAUUGGACAAUGGGGGCAACCCUGGUCCAGCAAUGCCGCGUGAGUGAUGAAGGCCUUAGGGUUGUAAAGCUCUUUUACCGGGGACGAUGAUGACGGUACCCGGAGAAUAAGCCCCGGCUAACUUCGUGCCAGCCGCCGCAGUAAAAC